rnacentral:rRNA from 1 species
AUGCCCAAAGGUAGGGCUCCGGGACUCGACGGAUUCACAUCCGAGUUCCUCCGCGCCUCUUGGCCCACUAUCAAAGAUGAUUUCAUCACCGCGUUCAAUAAGCUAUACUCGCUCAACGACAUCGGCUUCCAACGGCUGAAUGAGGCGCUGCUCACCCUUCUCCCCAAGAGGCCAGAUGCGUCUUCCCUCUCGGACUAUUGCCCCAUCAGUUUGAUACACCUGUUCGCCAAGCUCUUCGCCAAGGUUCUCUCCCUUCGCCUCGCGCCUAGGCUCGGCAGCAUGAUCUCCACGAACCAGAGCGCAUUCAUCGCGGGCCGCUGCAUCCACGACAACUUUCUUCUCGUGCAAUAG